GAGGAAGAUUAGCCCUGAGCUUACAUCCACCACCAAUCCUCCACUUUUUGCUGAGGAAGACUGGCCCUGAGCUAACAACUGUGCUCAUCUUCCUCUACUUUAUAUGUGGGAUGCCUGCCACAGCAUGGCUUGCCAAGCGGUGCAUAUGUCCGCACAUGAGAUCUGAAGCCAUGAACCACGGGCCACCAAAGUAGAACGUGCAAACUUCACCACUGUGUCACCACCGGGCUGGUCCCUUAACCCAGAGGGUGACAUCAAGAAGAAUUUUCACACAUGCAGAUUUCAAGACUCUUAUAGGAGAAAGAACUGAAGCUGCCCAGUAAUCCUCCUUUGUUGCCGAACUUUGAAGCUUGGAAGUAGCAUAAAUGAAGAUUGAUUGCAAGAUUUCGCAGGGACUCACAGGCACCCAGAUUGGGGUGAAACGGAGGCAGCGUCAAUCUGAGGAAUGGAUUUCACAUUUGGUACUAUUCGACUCCAGAUGAAGUAAAAUGUGGCUUUACCUCCAAUGUAAAUAUUGAUCACCAUGAAACCACCGACUCAGUUUGGCAUGCAAAAGUGCCGUGCCAGCACCACCUGAUGGGAAGAAUGUCCAAACUGAGGAAGAAUGUCCUUGUGACUGUUAAUGUGGAUCUAUGACUUUGAAGUGGAGCACCCACUAUCCCAAAGAUAUUUUUCCAACCCCUUGGACAUAGUGUUUCUCUUGUUAUGUGAAAUCACGUGAUUGAUUGUGAAAAAGGAUAUGAAUUUGGAUAUCUUAGUCCAGUCUUGUAGCCUAACAUAAAAACC
rnacentral:lncRNA from 1 species